GAUCUCCAGACUGAGUCAACACAACCUGCCCUAAAGAGACUGAACUGCAGGUGAUGAUCAUCCAGAUGAAGCUGGUGAUUAAAGUCAUGAUGGCUUUUUGAUGUGUGAUCAUGUAGAUCAGCUCUCAGUCAUGAAGUGUUAAACUGACAGAGCUAUAAACUCUCCCAGAGCACUG